AACGAACGCUGGCGGCGCGCCUAAUACAUGCAAGUCGAGCGAGAAGACGUAGCAAUACGUUUGUAAAGCGGCGAACGGGUGAGGAAUACAUGGGUAACCUACCCUCGAGUGGGGAAUAACUAGCCGAAAGGUUAGCUAAUACCGCGUACGCUCCUUGGACUUCGGUUCAGGGAGGAAAGCGAUACCGUGGGUAUCGCGCUCUUGGAUGGGCUCAUGUCCUAUCAGCUUGUUGGGAGGUAACGGCUCACCAAGGCUUCGACGGGUAGCUGGUCUGAGAGGACGAUCAGCCACACUGGCACUGCGACACGGGCCAGACUCCUACGGGAGGCAGGCAGUAAGGAAUAUUGCGCAAUGGGCGAAAGCCUGACGCAGCGACGCCGCGUGGGGGAGUGAAGGUCUUCGG
rnacentral:rRNA from 1 species